AUUGAACGCUGGCGGCAUGCUUUACACAUGCAAGUCGAACGGUAACAGGUUAAGCUGACGAGUGGCGAACGGGUGAGUAAUGCAUCGGAACGUGCCCGAUCGUGGGGGAUAACGCAGCGAAAGCUGCGCUAAUACCGCAUACGAUCUGAGGAUGAAGGCGGGGGACCGUAAGGCCUCGCGCGAUCGGAGCGGCCGAUGUCAGAUUAGGUAGUUGGUGGGGUAAAGGCUCACCAAGCCAACGAUCUGUAGCUGGUCUGAGAGGACGACCAGCCACACAGGGACUGAGACACGGCCCAGACUCCUACGGGAGGCAGCAGUGGGGAAUUUUGGACAAUGGGCGAAAGCCUGAUCCAGCAAUGCCGCGUGCAGGAAGAAGGCCUUCGGGUUGUAAACUGCUUUUGUACGGAGCGAAAAGGCUCUCUCUAAUACAGGGGGCUCAUGACGGUACCGUAAGAAUAAGCACCGGCUAACUACGUGCCAGCCGCCGCGGUAA
rnacentral:rRNA from 1 species